rnacentral:lncRNA from 1 species
UCUUAUCAAUCAAAUGUGUUAUGUUUGAGCUUAAUAAACCCAAGGGGAAGUUUUUCCUUCUGUGAGUUAGUCAAUGGCUUUUCGAACCUAGAUGAACUCUUGAUAUCUGAACCACUCUUGAAGUAGUUAAUCCCAAAGUUUCACUACAGUGUGUGUGAUUAAUUUGCACCAUUUAUUUAUUCUGAACCUGCCAUCUGAGAUUUUCAUUUAAGAAUUCCAAAUUGUUACUCAUUAAGAUAUCUAUUAAAUACCUCCACAGUCAUUUCUUUUUCACAGUACAAAGCCCAAGUCUGUUCUCCAUUCUGUAGCUUUGAUUGCCCUUGCUACUCUUUUCUUACUUUUUUUUUUUUUUCAGAUUUCUGUGUGUAGUUUUGAAAGAAAAGAGUAGAACUGAACACAGAAUCAGGUAUGCAGACAUACUGCAGUGUUGAACCAGUGAUAUUGAGAAGUCUCAAAACUUGAACUAAAUUGCCAUUUGGUGCAUACGGUUUUCACAUCUACAUGUGCUAUGCGAUUCCAUGGUGCACUCCCUACAUUACCCAGCUGCCAUAAUGUUAUAAUUUUAUACUGUGAUGUCCUUCAGUUGGCCUCUGCUGAAACCUGAGCUGUCACGCUGAGGUGCAGAAGACAAAAGGUAAUUUUCAGAUAGCUACAUCUUGGGAAACCUUAGACAAAACAGUUUUGGGUGUAGAAUAUAUGC